AGAGUUUGAUCCUGGCUCAGGACGAACGCUGGCGGCGCGCUUAACACAUGCAAGUCGUACGGGAUCGGGGUUUCGGCCCUGGUUCAGUGGCGAACGGGUGCGUAACACGUGGGCGACCUGCCGAGGCGCGGGGGACAACCCGGGGAAACCCGGGCUAAUACCGCAUGUGCUCCGCGAGCUUCAUGGCUUGCGGAGGAAACCUGCUUAACAGCAGGGUGCUUCGAGGGGCCCGCGGCCUAUCAGCUUGUUGGUGGGGUAGUGGCCUACCAAGGCGACGACGGGUAGCCGGCCUGAGAGGGUGACCGGCCACACUGGGACUGAGACACGGCCCAGACUCCUACGGGAGGCAGCAGUGGGGAAUCUUGGUCAAUGGGCGCAAGCCUGAACCAGCGAUGCCGCGUGAGUGAUGAAGGCCUUCGGGUUGUAAAGCUCUGUGGGGAGGGACGAAAGAAUCGGUUCUAACAGGACCGAAGUUGACGGUACCUCCUUAGCAAGCACCGGCUAACUCUGUGCCAGCAGCCGCGGUAAGACAGAGGGUGCAAACGUUGCUCGGAAUCACUGGGCGUAAAGGGCGUGUAGGCGGGAAGGUAAGUCGGGCGUGAAAUCCCUGGGCUCAACCCAGGAACUGCACUCGAAACUACUUUUCUUGAGUGCCGGAGAGGAAAGCGGAAUUCCUGGUGUAGAGGUGAAAUUCGUAGAUAUCAGGAGGAACACCAGUGGCGAAGGCGGCUUUCUGGACGGUAACUGACGCUGAGACGCGAAAGCGUGGGGAGCAAACAGGAUUAGAUACCCCAGUAGUCC
rnacentral:rRNA from 1 species